UGCCAGACUCCUACGGGAGGCAGCAGUGGGGGAUAUUGCACAAUGGGGGGAACCCUGAUGCAGCGACGCCGCGUGAGUGAAGAAGUAAUUCGUUACGUAAAGCUCUAUCAGCAGGGAAGAAAAUGACGGUACCUGACUAAGAAGCCCCGGCUAACUACGUGCCAGCAGCCGCGGUAAUACGUAGGGGGCAAGCGUUAUCCGGAAUUACUGGGCGUAAAGGGUGCGUAGGUGGUUUCUUAAGUCAGAGGUGAAAGGCUACGGCUCAACCGUAGUAAGCCUUUGAAACUGGGGAACUUGAGUGCAGGAGAGGAGAGUGGAAUUCCUAGUGUAGCGGUGAAAUGCGUAGAUAUUAGGAGGAACACCAGUUGCGAAGGCGGCUCUCUGGACUGAAACUGACGCUGAGGCACGAAAGUGUGGGGAGCAAACAGGAUUAGAUACCCGUGUA
rnacentral:rRNA from 1 species